GAUGAACGCUGGCGGCGUGCCUAACACAUGCAAGUCGAGCGAAGCACUUACUUUAGAUUUCUUCGGAAUGACGAAGUUUGUGACUGAGCGGCGGACGGGUGAGUAACGCGUGGGCAACCUGCCCUGUACAGGGGGAUAACAGUUAGAAAUGACUGCUAAUACCGCAUAAGCCCACAGCUUCGCAUGAAGCAGUGGGAAAAACUCCGGUGGUACAGGAUGGGCCCGCGUCUGAUUAGCUAGUUGGUAAGGUAACGGCUUACCAAGGCGACGAUCAGUAGCCGACCUGAGAGGGUGACCGGCCACAUUGGGACUGAGACACGGCCCAAACUCCUACGGGAGGCAGCAGUGGGGAAUAUUGCACAAUGGGGGAAACACUGAUGCAGCGACGCCGCGUGAGCGAUGAAGUAUUUCGGUAUGUAAAGCUCUAUCAGCAGGGAAGAAAGUGACGGUACCUGACGAAGAAGCCCCGGCUAACUACGUG
rnacentral:rRNA from 1 species